rnacentral:lncRNA from 1 species
ACCAUCUGUCCAUUCUUAAAAACAUCCUAGAAUGAACACUGCUGGGCAGAGUUUUUAACUUCUAAUUUCACACAAAGGACCAGAAUCUUCAUGCCCUUUGAACUCCUAAUUGAAAGGGGUCUUUUAAUAUUCUCACCUUUCUGUUUACUCCACCAAGUAAUGUAUUUUCCUACUUCAUAUCUCAUUAUGAAUGUCUUCAAAAGAAAAAAGUUGUCUUAGCACAUUUCCUAGCAGAAAGUUGACCUAACAGUGUCUAUUUCAGAAAUCACAUUGUAGAUGAAAGAGAUGACAGAUAGACUACAAAAUAAUGAAAAUGUUUUAUAGUAUGGCCCAUACAUGAAGAACAGAACAAAUCUAUACAUUUUACUGAAACUCCUUGAUUUGAAACCUCUAAGCAAAAAGAUCCAAUACAUUUAAAAAUACUUAUAGGGAUGAAGUUAAUUUGUCAUAUUAACACUGGAAGCCAUCUUUUAAUGACUGCUGCCAUAUUUUGUCACAGCAACUUUUAGCCAAAUGUAGUAUUUGUAAAUUUAAAUUUUCUUUCAUAUAAAAAGGGCCGGUACCUGUUAAAGUGCUAUUUUAUGCAGCAAGAUAGUAGCUUGUUAUUUCAGCAAUUAGUAGAUUCAAAUAAGAUACCAAUUUGGUUGCUGGCAGCCAUACUGGGUUUCUUGAUUUCAGUACUCCUAAAAACAUGCUGAUGUCAUGGAGUAGCUGACUGCUAAAAAAGGGAAAGUUAGAAGGGAAUCAGUUGUCAGGUUAGGGUUAGUCUUGGUUUUUGUUUGUUUGUUUGUUUUGUUUUGUUUUUGUUUUUGUUUUCAUUUUGUUUGUUUCUUUUUCUUUUUGCAUAGAAUGCUUAAAAAAAAUCAAUUGACAGCUGACAACUUUUUUGAGAAGUUAAUUAUGUCAUAGUUCAAGACUGCCAGCAUAGUGUACAGCAACAGCUACGGAUAAUACAGAAGUCAGUAAGCCACCCAGUUAGAAGAAGGUCAAUAUUUAAAUGCAUUUAAUAGCUACAAAGGACAAGUUUGAGGAGAACCAAUGUGUAUUGGAAAAAAAAAAGAAUGUUUUCAUUUUCUGUAAGAUUCAAUGAACUGGUGAACAAAUAUUAAAAGUCAAUUUUGUUUUGCUACAGUAUCAUUUGAUUCUUCUGACAUAUAGAAUCAGUCAUUUUACCUUGAGUCAAACUCAUUAAAUGCACCAUGAAUUCUUCUGUUGCUAGUGCAAUGCUUUGAAUGGAACAUACUCAAAUGAGUUCCAGCUGUGAAUUCACACAAGAAAGUAUACUUCAGAACUUUCCCAUGCUGAUUUUGGAUACAUUAAACAGCCUGAAGAAAAAAAACUUCCAGUAAUGAGGUUAAUUAAAUUUUCUUUUAGUGUGCAAAGUCUUUCAAAAUGAGGAAUAUCCUAUUCAUUUUAUCAUCGUUUUUCAUAUAUUUUGAUUUUUGUCAUACAAAGUGUAUGAGGCAGGGUGAAAGAUUCUAUGGAGGUUCUAAGUCCCCAAAUAAAAGUCAUGAAACCAUUCG